rnacentral:rRNA from 1 species
UACGGAGGGGGCUAGCGUUGUUCGGAGUUACUGGGCGUAAAGCGCACGUAGGCGGCUUUGUAAGUUAGAGGUGAAAGCCCGGGGCUCAACCCCGGAACUGCCUUUAAGACUGCAUCGCUUGAAUCCAGGAGAGGUGAGUGGAAUUCCGAGUGUAGAGGUGAAAUUCGUAGAUAUUCGGAAGAACACCAGUGGCGAAGGCGGCUCACUGGCCUGGUAUUGACGCUGAGGUGCGAAAGCGUGGGGAGCAAACAGG